GUCUGGGAAACUGCCUGAUGGAGGGGGAUAACUACUGGAAACGGUAGCUAAUACCGCAUAACGUCGCAAGACCAAAGAGGGGGACCUUCGGGCCUCUUGCCAUCGGAUGUGCCCAGAUGGGAUUAGCUAGUAGGUGGGGUAACGGCUCACCUAGGCGACGAUCCCUAGCUGGUCUGAGAGGAUGACCAGCCACACUGGAACUGAGACACGGUCCAGACUCCUACGGGAGGCAGCAGUGGGGAAUAUUGCACAAUGGGCGCAAGCCUGAUGCAGCCAUGCCGCGUGUAUGAAGAAGGCCUUCGGGUUGUAAAGUACUUUCAGCGGGGAGGAAGGGAGUAAAGUUAAUACC
rnacentral:rRNA from 1 species